AAACCAACAGGGAUUGCCUUAGUAGCGGCGAGUGAAGCGGCAAAAGCUCAAAUUUGAAAUCUGGCUCUUUCAGAGUCCGAGUUGUAAUUUGAAGAAGGUAUCUUUGGGUCUGGCUCUUGUCUAUGUUUCUUGGAACAGAACGUCACAGAGGGUGAGAAUCCCGUGCGAUGAGAUGAUCCAGGCCUAUGUAAAGUUCCUUCGAAGAGUCGAGUUGUUUGGGAAUGCAGCUCUAAGUGGGUGGUAAAUUCCAUCUAAAGCUAAAUAUUGGCGAGAGACCGAUAGCGAACAAGUACAGUGAUGGAAAGAUGAAAAGAACUUUGAAAAGAGAGUGAAAAAGUACGUGAAAUUGUUGAAAGGGAAGGGCUUGAGAUCAGACUUGGUAUUUUGUAUGUUACUUCUUCGGGGGUGGCCUCUACAGUUUAUCGGGCCAGCAUCAGUUUGGGCGGUAGGAGAAUUGCGUUGGAAUGUGGCACGGCUUCGGUUGUGUGUUAUAGCCUUCGUCGAUACUGCCAGCCUAGACUGAGGACUGCGGUUUAUACCUAGGAUGUUGGCAUAAUGAUCUUAAGUCGCCCGUCUUGAAACACGGACCAA
rnacentral:rRNA from 1 species